rnacentral:rRNA from 1 species
AUUGAACGCUGGCGGCAGGCCUAACACAUGCAAGUCGAACAGUGGGGACGGGUGAGUAACACGUGGGUAACCUCCCCAUCAGAGGGUAUAACACUUGGAAACAGGUGCUAAACCUAUACUGAUGGAUGGGUCCGCGGUGCAUUAGCUAGUUGGUGAGGUAACGGCUCACCAAGGCCACGAUGCAUAGCCGACCUGAGAGUGUGAUCGGCCAAAAUGGGACUGAGACACGGCCCAGACGCAUACGGGAGGCAGCAGUAGGGAAUAUUCGGCAAUGGACGAAAGUCUGACCGAGCAACGCCGCGUGAGUGAAGAAGGUUUUCGGAUCGUAAAACUCUGUUGUUAGAGAAGCGGUAUCUAACCAGAAAGCAACGGCUAACUACGUGCCAGCAGCCGCGGUAAUAC